rnacentral:rRNA from 1 species
AGAGUUUGAUCCUGGCUCAGAUUGAACGCUGGCGGAAUGCUUUACACAUGCAAGUCGAGCGGCAGCGCAGGGCAACCUGGCGGCGAGCGGCGAACGGGUGAGUAAUGCAUCGGAACAUGUCCAUGUCGUGGGGGAUAGCCCGGCGAAAGCCGGAUUAAUACCGCAUACGCCCGAGAGGGGAAAGUGGGGGACCGCAAGGCCUCACGCGAUUGGGUUGGCCGAUGUCCGAUUAGCUAGUUGGCGGGGUAAAGGCCCACCAAGGCGAUGAUCGGUAGCUGGUCUGAGAGGAUGAUCAGCCACACUGGGACUGAGACAGGGCCCAGACUCCUACGGGAGGCAGCAGUGGGGAAUUUUGGACAAUGGGGGCAACCCUGAUCCAGCCAUUCCGCGUGAGUGAAGAAGGCCUUCGGGUUAUAAAGCUCUUUUGUCCGGAACGAAACGGCUAGCGUGAAUAUCGCUGGCUACUGACGGUACCGGAAGAA